rnacentral:rRNA from 1 species
GACGAACGCUGGCGGCGUGCUUAACACAUGCAAGUCGAACGAUGAAGAAAAGAAUUGAAGCUUCGGCAGAAAUUCAUUUCGGAUUAGUGGCAGACGGGUGAGUAACGCGUGAGCAACCUACCUCUUACAAAGGGAUAGCCUCGGGAAACCGGGAUUAAUACCAUAUAACAUUGCGACGAAGCAUUUCGAUGCAAUCAAAGCUACGGCGGUAAGAGAUGGGCUCGCGUCCCAUUAACCGGAUGGUGAGGUAACGGCUCACCAUAGUGACGAUGGGUAACCGGCCUGAGAGGGUGAACGGUCACACUGGAACUGAGACACGGUCCAGACUCCUACGGGAGGCAGCAGUGGGGAAUAUUGCACAAUGGAGGGAACUCUGAUGCAGCGACGCCGCGUGAGUGAUGAAGGAAUUCGUUUCGUAAAACUCUGUUCUAUGGGAAGAAAAGGACUGUACCAUAGGAGAAAGCUCCGGCUAAAUACGUGCCAGCCGCCGCCGUAACAC